rnacentral:rRNA from 1 species
GAUGAACGCUGGCGGCGUGCCUAAUACAUGCAAGUCGAGCGAACAGACGAGGAGCUUGCUCCUCUGACGUUAGCGGCGGACGGGCGAGUAACACGUGGAUAACCUACCUAUAAGACUGGGAUAACUUCGGGAAACCGGAGCUAAUACCGGAUAAUAUAUUGAACCGCAUGGUUCAAUAGUGAAAGACGGUUUUGCUGUCACUUAUAGAUGGAUCCGCGCCGCAUUAGCUAGUUGGUAAGGUAACGGCUUACCAAGGCAACGAUGCGUAGCCGACCUGAGAGGGUAAUCGGCCACACUGGAACUGAGACACGGUCCAGACUCCUACGGGAGGCAGCAGUAGGGAAUCUUCCGCAAUGGGCGAAAGCUUGACGGAGCAACGCCGCGUGAGUGAUGAAGGUCUUCGGAUCGUAAAACUCUGUUAUUAGGGAAGAACAAAUGUGUAAGUAACUAUGCACGUCUUGACGGUACCUAAUCAGAAAGCCACGGCUAACUACGUG